GCGGAGCGGGGCGGGCAGGGGCCCGCAGGGGCCGGCAGAAGCGGGCAGGGGCGGCAGGGGCGGGCAGGGCCUUGCUGGGCCAGGCAGGGGAGGCCUUAGGCUCCUCUCCUGCUCAGCUCCAACUCUGCAAAGUUUGCUUCAACUACAGCCAGAGCUGUGAGGACGCGUGUGGAGUAGCAGGAUGAACAGAAGUUCCGACCCGGAGGUCACCGUCUCGGCGGCUCGUUCCUCCAUAGGUCAGUGUCCCGGAGGCACCCUACAGGUGCGCAGAGAACCCGGCCAACUGCCCGCGUGCAUUCAUGAUUGUUCAUCUCUGACCGUGUGGUGGCAGGUUCCUUCAGUGGUGCCCUGUUCACCUUGCCUGUCCACGACCUGGGGACAACUGUCAUCAAAGAAGACCUGCAGAGGGCUAAGGUGCCUCCAGAAGAGGUGUCCGAGGCGGACACGUUUUGACCGCAGGUUGCAAAGGCAGGCUGGUCCCUGGAGGAUGUUGACGUAUUUGAAAUCAAUGAAGCCUUUGCAGCAGUGUCUGCAGCAAUAGCUAGAGAACUUGGAUUAAACCCCGAGAAGGUGAACAUCAAUGGAGGAGUCAUUGCCUUGGGCCAUCCUCUGGGAGCAUCUGUCUGUAUGAUUCUAGUGACCUUGUUACACACCCUGGAGAGAGUGGGUGGGACUCGUGGUGUUGCAGCCCUGUGCACUGGGGUUGGGAUGGGGAUGGCAAUGUGUGUUCAGAGAGGAUGAGCCACACCCUUACAGUUCUCAUUAAAACACUAAACAGAACGUGCGAACAGUUCAGACUUAAGGGACUUUUAGCAUGCAUUCUUUUAGUUUUGAGGCUGAGCCUUGCUCUAUAGACCAGGGUAGCAUUAAUGUAGAUAGCUGCCCUUCCUGAGCUUCUAAAGUGCUGCUAUUAUAGGUGUGUGUGUGUGUGUGUGUGUGUGUGUGUGUGUGUGUGUGUGUAUCUGUGCAUGUGCGGGCUCGUCUGUGUGUUCAUGUGCGUGUGCGUGCAUGCGUGUUGUGUGUGUUCUCACAUCUGCCUAGAGAACGUCAGGCACCUUUUGAAUGGAAUCAGUUCGCUGAGGGAACUGUGUGUUGAAGGGAGCAUGAAGGAGCCCUCCAUACUGACAGUGGUCCCGCUGAGGAAUCACUGUGCCGGCUGACUUAGAGCCACAGGCCACCAUGGAACACCCAGCCUCACAGUGGCCAUUUCCUACAAGACGUGUGUCUUUGAGGACUGUAUUAUGUAUAUGUUUUCUUCAUUUAAAUUAACAUUGUGUGUGUGUGCACACACUCGCACACACUGGUAUCCAUAGCGGCCACAAGAGGGUGUGUGAUACCACAGAACUGAGUUACAGGUGAGCAUGGGAUCUGAGGUUUGGUCCUCAUGAUAGAGCAUCAAGUGUUGUUAACAGUGAACCAUCUCUCCAGCAACUGAAGCAUAAUUUUGUUACUAUUUUGUUACUAUUUGAUACAGUUCUCAUUAAAACACUAAACAGAAUGUGAGACCAGAGGACCAACCUGAGGACAGGAACCCAGGUCGACAGCUUGCUCUACUUUAGUGUGAGACACCCAAGGCUAAGACGUUGAGACAUUGCAUUUGACACUGUUAUUAAACAGGGAAAUCCAGUCAGUCAUCAAGGGCUCCAGAGUGAACGACAGUUUCAUAAUUUCCAUGUUUAUUGUCUUUGCUUUCGGGGUAUAGUUUUCUCUGAUCAAUGCUUUGUUUGUUUGUUUGUUUUUGAGUCAGGGUGUCACCAUAUAGCCUGAAAAUCGUUUUGUAGAUGAGGUUGGCUUUGAACUCCCAGAGAUCCACCUUUCUGUGCCACCUGAGUACUUUAAUUAAAUUCAUGCGCCCUGAUGCAGGGUCCUGAAAUGAUCCAUUCAAGGAAUGGGGAUGUGGCUUCUGGUUUGAACUUCAGACUCUUCGCUCAAACACCCCUGCUUGCUUGUUGUAUUGUGGUUUCCCAUUGAUCAAACCAAGACCAAUCCUGUAAUGGAAAUUGGAUUCAGUGGCCUCUUCUAAGCUGAGGUGGUGGGGUAGGUAUUCUAGCUAUUCUAGUCAGAAGAUUGCCCAUCCCAACCAGUGUGCCUCUGGUUUGUUGGAAAGUGAGCAGCAAGCACCUUCCCUGCAUUUGUUUCUCUGCUUGACCAGAGCGACAGUACUUGAUUCAAACGUCUACUCUGACUUCCCCAAAAUGAUGAACUGUUACUGGAAUUGAAAGCCAAAUAAACUCUUCCCUCCCUUGCA